AUGCAAGUCGNNCGGUAGCACAGAGAGCUUGCUCUCGGGUGACGAGUGGCGGACGGGUGAGUAAUGUCUGGGAAACUGCCUGAUGGAGGGGGAUAACUACUGGAAACGGUAGCUAAUACCGCAUAAUGUCGCAAGACCAAAGAGGGGGACCUUCGGGCCUCUUGCCAUCAGAUGUGCCCAGAUGGGAUUAGCUAGUAGGGGGGGUAACGGCUCACCUAGGCGACAAUCCCUAGCUGGUCUGAGAGGAUGACCAGCCCCACUGGAACUGAGACACGGUCCAGACUCCUACGGGAGGCAGCGGGGGGGAAUAUUGCACAAUGGGCGCAAGCCUGAUGCACCCAUGCCGCGUGUAUGAAGAAGGCCUUCGGGUUGUAAAGUACUUUCAGCGGGGAGGAAGGUGUUGUGGUUAAUAACCCCAGCAAUUGACGUUCCCCGCAAAAAAAGCACCGGCUAACUCCGUGCCAGCAGCCGCGGUAAUACGGAGGGUGCAAGCGUUAAUCGGAAUUACUGGGCGUAAAGCGCACGCAGGCGGUCUGUCAAGUCGGAUGUGAAAUCCCCGGGCUCAACCUGGGAACUGCAUUCAAAACUGGCAGGCUGGAGUCUUGUAGAGGGGGGUAGAAUUCCAGGUGUAGCGGUGAAAUGCGUANAGAUCUGGAGGAAUACCGGUGGCGAAGGCGGCCCCCUGGACAAAGACUGACGCUCAGGUGCGAAAGCGUGGGGAGCAAACAGGAUUAUAUACNCCUGGUAGUCCACGCCGUAAACGAUGUCGAUUUGGAGGUUGUGCCCUUGAGGCGUNCUUCCGGAGCUAACGCGUNAAUCGACCGCCUGGGGGAGUACGGCCGCNAGGUUAAAANUCANAUGAANUGACGGGGGGCCCGCACNACGCGGUGNANNAUGUGNUUUUAUUUNGNNGCNNNANNAGANCNUUACCUGGUCNUGACNNCNCANNANUNNCANANAUGNAUUGGUGCCUUCUGNACUAUGAAACAGGUGCUGCAUGG
rnacentral:rRNA from 1 species